UUUUUGUGCCCCACCUACGAUAGUAGAUGGGGCAUUAUGUUUUCUGGUCUGUGCCUCCGUUCGUCCGUUCGUUCGUUCGUCCGUUCGUUCGUCCCGCUUCAGGUUAAAGUUUUUGGUCAAGGUAAUUUUUGAUGAAGCUGAAGUCCAAUCAACUUGAAACUCAGUACACUGGUUGCUUAUGAUAUGAUCUUUCUAAUUUUAAAGCCAAAUUAGACUUUUGACCCCAAUUUCACGGUCCACUGAACAUAGAAAUGAAAGUGCGAGUUUCAGGUUAAAGUUUUUGGUCAAGGUAGUUUUUGAUGAAGCUGAAGUCCAAUCAAUUUAAAACUUAGUACACUUGUUGCUUAUGAUAUGAUCUUUCUAAUUUUAAAGCCAAAUUAGACUUUUGACCCC
rnacentral:lncRNA from 1 species